rnacentral:rRNA from 1 species
UACGGGGGGAGCAAGCGUUGUUCGGAUUUACUGGGCGUAAAGGGCGCGUAGGCGGCCAGUGCAAGUCAGUUGUGAAAUCUCCGAGCUUAACUCGGAAAGGUCAACUGAUACUGCUCGGCUAGAGUGCGGAAGGGGCAACUGGAAUUCUUGGUGUAGCGGUGAAAUGCGUAGAUAUCGGGAGGAACACCAGUGGCGAAGGCGGCGAUCUGGGUCGAUACUGACGCUGAGGUGCGAAAGCGUGGGGAGCAAACAGG